rnacentral:rRNA from 1 species
AACCAGACUCCUACGGGAGGCAGCAGUGGGGAAUAUUGGGCAAUGGGCGCAAGCCUGACCCAGCAACGCCGCGUGAAGGAAGAAGGCCUUCGGGUUGUAAACUUCUUUUCUAUAGGACGAAGAAGUGACGGUACUAUAGGAAUAAGCCACGGCUAACUACGUGCCAGCAGCCGCGGUAAUACGUAGGUGGCGAGCGUUAUCCGGAUUUACUGGGUGUAAAGGGCGUGUAGGCGGGAGUGCAAGUCAGAUGUGAAAACUAUGGGCUCAACCCAUAGCCUGCAUUUGAAACUGUACUUCUUGAGUGCUGGAGAGGCAAUCGGAAUUCCGUGUGUAGCGGUGAAAUGCGUAGAUAUACGGAGGAACACCAGUGGCGAAGGCGGAUUGCUGGACAGUAACUGACGCUGAGGCGCGAAAGCGUGGGGAGCAAACAGGAUUAGAUACCCCGGUAUC